CAGCGCCACGAGUGGGGACCUUUUUUAUUGGGCCUAAAGCGUCCGUAGCUGGUUUAGUAAAUCUUUUGUGAAAUCGUUACGCUCAACUUAACGGCAUGCAGGAGACACUGCUUUACUUGAGACCGGGAGAGGUAAGGAGUAUUCUGGGGGAACCGGUAAAUGGGAUAAUCCUCAGAGGACUACCUGUGGCGAAGGCGCCUUACUAGAACGGAUCUGACAGUGAGGGACGAAGGCUAGGGGAGCAAACCGGAUUAGAGACCCGAGUAGUCC
rnacentral:rRNA from 1 species